GACGAACGCUGGCGGCGCGCUUAACACAUGCAAGUCGAACGGAAAGGCCUGCUUUCCCUUGUGGAUUGCGGGUACUCGAGUGGCUAACGGGUGAGUAACACGUGAGUGAUCUGCCCCCAACUUAGGUAUAAGCCUGGGAAACUGGGUCUAAUUCCCGAUAGGACUGCAGGGCGGUGCCUGUGGUGGAAAACGAUUUUCUAGUGGUUGGGGAUGAGCUCGCGGCCUAUCAGCUUGUUGGUGGGGUAAUGUCCUACCAAGGCGGCGACGGGUAGCCGGCGGGGGAGGGUGGCCCGGGAACUUGGGCCCGGGCCACGGCCCUGACGCCUACGGGAGGAAGGAGUGGGGCACAAUGCACAAUGGGCUGACGCCGGAUGGCGCGACGCGGGGUGGGGGACGACGGCCUGCGGGUUGCAAUCUCCUGUCGACAGCGAGGAAGCCACCUGGUUGGAAGGGUGGUGACGGUAGUGGUAGAAGAAGCACCGGCUAACUACGU
rnacentral:rRNA from 1 species